rnacentral:rRNA from 1 species
GCUAGAGUUUAUCAGAGGAAAGCGGAAUACAUAGUGUAGAGGUGAAAUUCGUAGAUAUUAUGUAGAACACCAGUUGCGAAGGCGGCUUUCUGGGAUAAUACUGACGCUGAGGUGCGAAAGUAUGGGUAGCGAAGAGGAUUAGAUACCCUCGUAGUCCAUACCGUAAACGAUGAUUGUUAGAUGUUGGAAAUUUAUUUUCAGUAUCACAGCUAACGCGUUAAACAAUCCGCCUGGGGAGUACGACCGCAAGGUUAAAACUCAAAUGAAUUGACGGGGACCCGCACAAGCGGUGGAGCAUGUGGUUUAAUUCGAAGCUACGCGCAGAACCUUACCAACACUUGACAUGUCUGUCGCGGAAUUCAGAGAUGAAUUCCUUCGGUUCGGCCGGACAGAACACAGGUGCUGCAUGGCUGUCGUCAGCUCGUGUCGUGAGAUGUUGGGUUAAGUCCCGCAACGAGCGCAACCCCUACUUCUAGUUGCCAUCAGGUUAAGCUGGGCACUCUAGUAGGACUGCCUGUGAUAAGCAGGAGGAAGGUUGGGAUGACGUCAAGUCCUCAUGGCCCUUACGUGUUGGGCUACACACGUGCUACAAUGGCAGUGACAAUGAGAUGCUAAACGGCGACGUUAAGCUAAACUCAAAAACCUGCCUCAGUUCGGAUUGCACUCUGCAACUCGAGUGCAUGAAGCUGGAAUCGCUAGUAAUCGCUCAUCAGCGCGGAGCGGUGAAUACGUUCCCGGGUCUUGUACACACCGCCCGUCACACCAUGGAAGUUGGUUUUACCUUAAGGCAUGUCACUAACCCUCGGGAAGUGCGUGACCACGGUAUGAUCGGCGACUGGGGUGAAGUCGUAACAAGGUAGCCGU